rnacentral:rRNA from 1 species
AUGCAGACCUUACUACACAUGCUGAAUUCUUCAUCAACAACCUCAAAGAGACAUGGACCCGUCACUACGAAAACUCAAAGGUCCAGAUCAGUCAUUUUCCAAUCGAGUAAGUCGCAACUACAAAGCAAGGAAAUCGGCAUGACUGCGGUUUUCACAUGUUGGAAUACCUUGCAAAGUGGGAAGGCCGACGGGUCCCUAUCGUCACAGCUGCAAUGGUCAUUGAGCUCCGCAAAAUAUACACAUGGAACUGGUUGA